rnacentral:rRNA from 1 species
CGGUUGAUCCUGCCGGAGGGCAUUGCUAUUGGGGUUCGACUUAGAAAUGCUAGUCGACCGACGUUCCGUCAGGAACGGCGGGGCGAACAGCUCAGUAACACGUGGCCAAUCUGCCCUCGCGUGGGGAAUAACCUCGGGAAACUGAGGCUAAUUCCCCAUAGAGGAGGAGGUCUGGAAGGACUCCUCCUCGAAAGCUCUUGCGCGCGAGGAUGAGGCCGCGUCCGAUUAGGUAGUAGGUGGUGUAACGGACCACCUAGCCUUCGAUCGGUACGGGCCGUGGGAGCGGGAGCCCGGAGACGGGUACUUAGACAAGGACCUGGGCCCUAAGGGGCGCAGCAUUCGCGAAGACUCCCCAAUGCGCGAAAGCGUGAGGGGGGAACCCCAAGUGCCAGCACAAAGUGCUGGCUUUUCUGGAGUGCAAAAAGCUCCAGGAAUAAGGGCUGGGCAAGACCGGUGCCAGCCGCCGCGGUAACACCGGCAGCCCGAGUGAUGCCCGCAAUUAUUGGGCUUAAAGCGUUCGUAGCCGGCCUGCUAAGUCCCCGGUCAAAUCUGACGGCUCAACCGUCGGCUUUCUGGGGAUACUGGCAGGCUUGAGGCCGGGAGAAGUCAGAGGUACUCCCGGGGUAGGGGUAAAAUCCGAUAAUCCUGGGGGGACCACCAGUGGCGAAGGCGUCUGACUGGAACGGGCCUGACGGUGAGGGACGAAACCCUGGGGAGCGAUCCGGAUUAGAUACCCGGGUAGUCCAGGGCGUAAACGAUGUGGGCUGGGUGUAGACUAAUCAGAAGGAUUAGUCUGUGCCGAAGCGAAAGCGAUAAGCCCACCGCCUGGGGAGUACGGUCGCAAGGCUGAAACUUAAGAGGAAUUGGCGGGGGAGCAC